CCUUCUCCACCGUCUCUCUAAUCUACCAUAAACCGCACACAUUCAGAGGGUCAAUUUAGUCACUUCAUAGUAAAAAAGUCUCACGGUCGCCAGACAUAUAAAAAUAAAAAACACUGGCGCUGUUUACCUUCUUUUUUUUAUUCUAAAAAAAAUGCAGUCCCUCAAUCUGAAACUGUCAACGGAUUUUAGUACAGGUACGAGGAGGUUUGUUCAAAGUCGGAGCUUCGGAGAGGAGAGGAGACAGUGUUUGAGUUUCAGAGUUCCCUACAGAAAUUGUCGGAUUGUUGCAUGUUCUGUUGAGAGAGAUGGAAACGGUGAAGGAACAAGUUCCAGUUCGGGUUCGGAUUAUAGUCCGAGUUCAUUUUUGUCUCGGAGUCAAACGUAUGCUAUGCUAAAACAACAAAUGGAGGUUGCUGCGCAAUCUGAGGAUUAUGAAGAAGCUGCGAGAAUUCGUGAUUCGUUGAAAUCAUUUGAGGAAGAGGAACCAGUUUUGCGGCUGCAUAGGUUGCUGAAGGAGGCAAUUGCUGAUGAGCAGUUUGAGGAUGCAGCUAGGUAUCGAGAUGAGUUAAAGGAAAUUGCGCCACACUCUCUCUUGAAAUGUUCAAGUGAUGCAACUACCUUGGGGAUCAGGAUUCAAGUUAGGAGCUUGUACAUCGAGGGCCGCAGUCAGCCUUCAAAGGGGCAGUACUUCUUUGCAUAUAGAAUAAGAAUCACUAAUAACUCAGAUCGCCCCGUUCAACUUCUCAGAAGACACUGGAUUAUCACAGAUGCCAAAGGAAAAACUGAAAAUGUUUGGGGAGUUGGAGUUAUAGGUGAACAGCCAGUUAUACUUCCUAGGACAGCAUUUGAAUACUCAUCUGCAUGCCCGCUAUGCACUCCCAAUGGUAGAAUGGAAGGUGACUUUGAGAUGAAACACAUCGACAAAGCAGGCUCGCCCACGUUCAAUGUUGCUAUUGCCCCGUUUUCUCUCUCAAUACUUGGAGAUGGAAGUGAUGCCUUUUGAUUUAGGCUUCAUGGCUCACUCAAAGAGAGCGGAGCAUCCGCAUCGAUUCAGGGACUGCACUGUUGAAGUCGAAAGAAUCCCAUAGUAAAAGUGCUUCUUAUUAGGAAAAUGAACCAGAUGGUCCAGCUCCAAUACCAGCUUGCAGGCCCAGCCCCUUGCUGUUUUUCCAAGUAAUCAACAGUUGAGUGGAUUAUUCUUUGGUUCUUGGGUUUCUUGGAAGCAAUUGUAACUUAGUUCUUCAGCAGAUCUUUGCCCCGCUGUAAGCUGAGGGUUGAAAAUGUUACUAAAACAUUGUAAACAUAUUUUCUAGUAAAAACAAAAUUUAAACUGUUCA